UAUUCAAACAUGCCCAUUUUCUCCAUACCAAACAAACAAUCCUGACGGUCUCCAGGCACACUAAAACACACAGGUGGCUUUGAUUUGGACUUGAAAAACACAAUAGUUUGAAUUUAGUUGGAUUUUAUAAAUGCUAUAAUGGAAAUGGGUGCUAUAGGUGCAUGCGGAGAACGGGUGAAAUAUAGAAUGGCCUAUUCGCUGACGAAACUGAAGUAUUUUUUCACGCUCCAGGCCAUAGACAAAUUUGUGUAGGAUAUAGAAACUGCAAGUUGUGGAAAAACAGCAAGCCUCCGACUGUAGAUUUAAUAUCAUGGGUUUUCCGACAAAUCCAGCUUCGUAAACAAGACUUUAGAGGACCAAUACCGAGGCUGCCGCAAUCACAGCUUGAGCCGUGAAGCUAACAGCGAAAACAGCCAAUUUAGGAAAAGAGGGAGACUCUGAGCGUGACCUUUCCGUUGGAUGGAUGGAAUAGAGGAGGAGUGUAAUAGGAGGCAUCCAGCACUACGUGAUGGAGGAGACACUUCUGCAUUGGAAGGGAAGGACGGGGGCUGGGGGGAGGGGGGAGGCGUCCUCUGCAGAUCUUUAAAACUUUCGCGUAAGCGCCCAGGUGUCGGGAUCUAGAGAAAAAUGGACUGUCAGCGGAGGAGGGAGAGAAGAGAGGGAUGGGGUGGGCAGGUGGAUUGCUGACAGCUCUUCGUGUAGUGUUAUCUGGGGCAUGGGUCUGUAAUUUAAAAAAAGAGCCUCAUGGGAUUUUUUUUUUUUUUUUAAUCUCAUGUGCCACCUUGGUUUUAGUUUUAGUGAGGACCGCAGGGUGUAACAAAACACUUUUAUUGUUCUGGUGAUGAAACAUCAGUGUACAUUCAGCUUAAACGUGAUGUGUAUUUGUUCUCUAAUGAAACAACAUAUCUGCAUGAACCAAUCCAGACCUUUAGAUCCACAUGCUGAAUCGUUCAAAAACAAGAAGCAGGAUGACACAGCCAAAUGAUGCAUCAGAAUUUUGGUGCAUCAUUCACAGUAAGGUUUAAAAAGCGCUCACUGUUACUCUGGUUACAGAGGACAGAUCAAUGUCCGCGGGCGACAGAAGGGAGAGGACAGACUAUAAAUGAAUUCAUCUUCUGUUUUCACUGACCUUUUCUCAAAGCUCACAGGAAUCAAAAAUGGAAUACGUAACAAUGGAGAAAUAGCUUUUUGUUCUCUUUCUCUCUCUGUCUUAUUUUCUCUCUCUUCCUUCUUUUUGUAUGUUUCUUUUGUUGAGAAAAUAAAACUACUCAAACUGCUGUUGUUCAUAGCAAUUAAACAAUGUCAGCAAACACACAAAUUAAAUUAACGCUGGUUUCUUUAAAUCAUUUGUCAGAUGUGCUAGAAGCACAGUUUGUAGGAUGUAAGGUAAGUUAUCUGAAGGCUUUUUCCCUUGAUAUAUUUACUUCUUAGAUUAACUUUUCGACUCGCUCUCUUUCUCUCUCUCUCACACACACAUAAACAGACACACACACACACUAAAUAUACUGAGGAGAAAGAAUCAGAUAAUCUGCUUUUUUUUCUUCUACAAAAUAUCUACCAAUAUUAAAUACCCCAUGAAAUCCAAAUGAGAGUUCUGUGGUAUUAGUCUACUAUGUAUGUUAGCUUUGAGGCCAUCUAUAUGCUAAUGUUCUCCUAAACAUUGGCAAAAUGACUUUUAGCAGAUAUACGCAUUUAAAAAUACUGUAUCUUUCUCUUCAGGGAAAAUGGACUGAUAAUGUUGAUGAUAAAACAUUCCUGUUUUCUGUUUAGGCUAAUACGUUAACAUGUCAGAAAACUGCAGCUGACGAACGACUUCAUGGGGUUUUUAAAAACCUCGUUUUAGCUUAGCAUAAGUCCGCCAUUAACUUAACCACAGUAGCCAAGGCAAAAAUAAAAAAGUAAAUAAAUAAAGUAAAACAGAGAUGUCACCUCACCCUCUGAAAUCAAAAAAGUCUCCCACGCUUUUCUUUUCUGCUCUGCUAAUGGUCAAUAAAUCGUCCACUUCAUACACGGUUGUUUGACGUUAUUGGUCAAACAACUCAUACUUAACCCAAACAGGAGCCACACUGGACUCGGAAGCAUCUCGCACAAUCAUUUCCAUGCACCUACAGCCUGUAUCACACAACCUUGUGGCAGAUAAUCGACAUCACAGAAGCACUGUUAAAACAGAGUGCCUGCCACAAAAUGGAGGUCACCCUCAGCGGCUAUACACUGUAUAUGUGAAUUUAUGAUCUUGCUGUUUUUGCCACACAUGGGGUUCAAAGCCAAGGAAAGGAGGAUUUCAUCUUGUUCUUCCAGUAUAUUUUCUGUUUACUCAUACCUCUCAGGUAGAGGUAGCCGGGGAAUAACCUUUUCCUUCAUUCAUUUUUUAAGCUCCUUUUACAAAACAGCAUGACUGGUAAGUAACCCUAGACUAAAUCCCCUAAAAAAAAAAUCUCAGAUUGAGAAACAAACUAAUUUGUACUUAAUAGAGUCUCCGGGUGGAGGGUCCAAGUCUCCUUAAUGUUCGCAGAGGUCGCUGCACUUGCCCAAGACUCCAACCCUCCUGUGCACUGAACUGCUGGAGGGGAUGUGAGCUGUCAGAACCCAUUCAGGUACGCAGCUUCAUACAUUUCUUGUAUCUUAACGUCAGGUCAGUAAAGUUCUCUGUGUGUAUUGAUUUUUAUUUUUCUCUCCCCGUGUUUUGCGUGGGCUCCCCUCCUCAGUGGGACACCUCCUCCAGAGCCCUCGGGUCAGACUGCCACUCCGGCAGAUCAAUCAGGGCAGUAAUGUGGGACGGCAUGCGCCAAGACUGCUCCGCUCCGUCACCAUCGAUCCGCAUCUACUUUACCAAAUGGAUUUUCCCUCCCUCCCUUCUCUCAUUGAGUACCUCUCUCUCCCUCUUAUUCUUCCUCUGAGGGACUUUGGAUAAUAAAUGCCUCAGUAUAAAAGCAAUUUUUCAUUUAACUUUUGCUUGACACAUUUUCUUCUUCCCUCUCUAGAUGAAGUCCGGUUUUAUGUUACGCCAGAUCGAUAGAAGCUUCCAAGGCGGUUCUCCCAUAAUUUAUCUGCCUUUCUCCCCUGGGUGAUGGUGAUGGGCCUGGUCCAGCCAGGACGUUAGCGGAUAGCAGAGGACCACACCCUGAUCACAUUACCCCGUCAUUAGAGCAAGCCUCAUUUGAUCAGUAAUGAAGGCUGCUGUUCAUUUGGCCCAUGCCUCGUGUUCUUUCUUAGCGUCUGUUUCUCAGAGAUGGGUUCCUUGCUCCUGUCUAAGAGUCCAAUGAAUAUCUCAGAGGAAUUACUCCGACCUUUUGCCAUUCAAAGGCGGGAUUCGCUUCCUGGGGUGACUCAGGGUGACUGUAUAAUGACAGUUCUGUGGAGUAAUAGGCAAGGUUGAAUACAGGCCACUGCAGAAACAUAAACACCCAAAUGCUGAAAGCCGUGAUCACAGUGAUUCGCAAAUGUAUGAUGCUUGAGCAGUUUUAUGUUAAUAAAAAAUUAGGAUUUUUAAGCAGUUCAAUUUUAGGUCAGCACAUUGUAAAUACAUUUAAAAUGUUAAUACAUGAUUUUCCUAGCUUCAGAUGAUAUAGCCUACAAGAUAUAAUAAAGCAAGUCUUCUCUUUUUUUAAAAAAGCACUAUCCAGCUUUUUUUAGAUUGUCCAAAUUGAAAUCAUUUAAGCUGAAAAAAAAAAAAAAAUCCAUUUCUCACUUAAAUGCCUGGAUGAUGGAGAGAUGAUUGAUUGUCUGAGGGUUUAAUUGCUUGAAACCAUUAUCAGAGAUUUUAAAUAAUGAAAAAUACAUGAAUACAGAUUGACACAGCAAGCAUUUGAGGUUAGGUAAAAAAUUUUGGUUCUGAAUCCUAAAACUCUUGUAAGAAAAGAAAGAAAGGAAAAGGAGGAGAUAGGAGGAGAAAAUGUGAGGGUGUAUGUGGGGGGCGGCAGCAUCAGUGACACAGGCCGUGUUUUUCCUUUGGGCUACGGGCCUGGUGAAACACCUGCGUCUCUCCCUACCCACUCUCUCCAAAUCUCGCAACGUUGACCUCAUCAGCUGACCCCACUCUCUUUCUCUCUCACUCUCUCUAUCCACCGUCGCUCCUUUGCAGUCCCCCCCCCCCUCUCUCAUUCUGGAUGAAUGGCUGUAUUUUCUCUCAGUGCGUGGGAUCUCCUUGGCCUUAAAUUAACCUCUCUCGCAGAUCUUCUGUGGAGACGAAUUAGCGCCCAACGUGACAGUGCGGCUAAUGUGUUGGUGAGGGUUCAGUAGAGUUUUCAAAUAAAAAAAAACUUCAAUGCUGUGCUGAUGAACUGCAAUGCAAAAAUUAAUGUUUUCAUGAAGUUACACAACUGCGGUACAUGCUGAUAACGAUUAAAAAACAAACAAACACGCCCAUGAUAGCACGAAAAAGUCAAAUAUAGCUGAAUUUCUCGACUGCAUGUUUGCGUUUUGCAUAAUCCACUAUCUAGUCCAUGCUGCCACGGGGCCGCUGGCUCCGUUAGCCGCUGGUAGCGGCCCAGCUCACUGCCAAGGCGAGCAGAAAAUUGGUGAGCAUCUUGAUUCAGGGAUGACACUUAAAUUUGUGUGGCUCCAGUGACCAGUUCUAUCCUCAGGCUCCGGAUGGAAAUAUGAGAGAGUUUGGCCUUCUGCCUGCUCUAUCACGGCCCACAGGACUCGCGUCCUUCAGGCAGUAUGGGGUAAGCGGCCUGCUGGGCCUGGCUUUGCGAGCAUACACAUACACACCCAGUGGCGUGUCACCGACAUAGUCCAGCCCCUGGCCAUCUCUGUGAUAUCUCCCGUGGACACGAACGCUGCCUGUGACGCGGAGAGGCCUUCGCUAUCAGACGUGAGGCUCUUGUGUCAUAUUAAAGCAGAUUUGACGGGGGAGUAUUUGGUGGAUGUGUCUUUAAAAUCACUCAGAUCUGUGUUACGAAACACGCUUUAGUGCAGGGCGAUGAUCAAAGUGAGACAGGGGAGUUCUUUGGGUGUGUGCGCGUGUUGUCCUUGGCUGUCAACUAGCCUCAGACCACGAGUUGAUUGUCAGUGACAGGCUCAGAGAUACACUGCCCACCCCCACACGCUCUUUCUUUUUCACAUACCCUUCCGCUCGUUCUAUCUAACCCCUUCACAUAUUAUAGAUAUGGCACUAGUGCCUCCUACCAUCGGGGGACUUCUGCAUUACAAUAAAGGUGACCUUGCCAUGUCUGCAUGAGGAAAUUUCUGAGCAACACUAGGAGUGGGCGGUAUGACCAAAGUAUUACAUCAAGUAUGCAGGCUGUGUCAGCUCCAGGUGGGGCGUUGACAUGGCUGUAGGUAGCUGGCAGGUGGCAGAACAGUGCUGCACCUGCGCCAGGCAGAGAGAGAGAGAGAGAGAGAGAGAGAGAGCACAUUCUUGUUCCUCCGCGCCCUGGAAACUAUGCAUACUGUGCACUCCUGAACCUCUCCGGCUAACAAGCUGCUUUACCAACUACAAAUCACAUUGAGGCUAUAUAGAUGAGUUUUAAAGCUGCGCUUGGGAGCCCUUGGUGAGUAUUGCCGUGAGUGUGGAGAGCUGGUAAAAUGAGGAUGAAUGUGUUUUGUUAUGCGGAGUGUGAAACCCAGCUAAAGACCUUGCACCAUAUAUUUGUCUUUUAAUUAUUUCUUCUGUUUAAGCUUGUCAUGCAAUGUUUGCUCAUUAUAGAGAAACAUUAAAAGCUUUACAAAUAGCCUGAAAGUAGAUGUGUGUGUUUGUGUGUGAGGGGAGCGUAAGGAAAGGAAGACGUGCAGGUAAGGAAGCUAACUGCAGUCUCAAGUUCCUGAGAGGAUGAGGUGGGCUUCUGAACACACAUUGAGCUUUCCUUCUCUCUCUAUUUUUCACUCUAACAAACCACACACAUGAGCUCUGGCUAAUCCAAUCUCAGCCUCCUCAUCUUCCUGCAGCCUCUUUCUCAAAGUCCCUUUCUCCACACUCUCUCUUUUCCAAAACAUUAGCUCUUAUUUUCCCCAUUUCCAUUCCAACACAACACACAAUUCCUCCAUCAAUCUCUCUUCUCAUUCCCCUGUGGUGUUUUGUUUUCCCUUACCUUCUGCAUGUUUUUAACCAUUUUUUCUUCACCAGCAUUGGACUUCUCUUUGCACCAACAAACACACCUAAUUUUCUGCCUCUUUUCAUUCUACAGGGAAGAACUACAGUCUGACAGAACUACAGGGAAAUGAAAAAUCCAAUCCUUUAAAUGGAAAGCGUGAAGACUAUUUCGGUUGAUGGAGGCCUAAUGGAAUAAAUGCCUUGCUUCUCGGAGAAGAAAAAAAAAGCAGGGUGUGUUUGUGUAAGGGAAGACAUUUGCUCCCGGACAAGACAGCAACUUCUGCUAAAGGUCUGCUCUCACCUCUAAUCAGCCUAACUCCUCUUGACAGCAAGAUAACAAUAUCCACAACCCGAGCGGAUCUACAGGGGCAAGAUUUCACGCGAAGCAAUCCCUUCAUGAAAUGCCAACGGCAGUAUCUAUGGUUACUGUUGUGGGGAAGAUGGUUUUUGUGGGCCACCCCGUUUGCCCUUUCUCAGUCAGGGUUCGUUGCGGGAGCUGCCCUACCUCGUACGCUCCAUAACCCUUCUCUGCUGUGACCUUUGACCUCCGGGCACUGAUAUUCAGAGAGCUCAACUAACUUUGACAUUUAUACCCAUGUUCCCUUUCUCGUCUCAUUUCUUCUCAUUGUAUCCUAUUUUUACCCACGGGAAACGAGCAAAAAUAAAUUCUCUCCUCAAGUGUGCUCUCUUGAAUGCCAUAUCAGCCAUUAUUACGCCACAUUAUGCAAUUUUAUUUAAUGCAUCGGUCAUUUUAGUAACAAAGCUAUGGGUUGUAAAGGUUUUGAGGUUUAGAUUUCCGUGUGAUUGUGUGAGGCGAGCCACCGUAAUGCGAAUGACCUUGAGAUGUCCUUUAGCAUUACAGGAGGCAGGUCAGUUAAUUGGCUAAUGGGCAGGAGAGAAAACGCGACUGCGUUUGCAAUAGUGCAAGCAAAGACUCGCCUGCUACUGCUGUCUUUUCCUGGGGUGCAAAAUGUAGAUCAGAGAAAUGUGCAGUUUGUGCACAGUCUCGAGAGAGCCUGCCACUCAAAUCCGAACGUCUGUAUGAAUACCAAAACACACAGGCAGAGAGAGAGAGAGAGGGAGGGGGAGCCAGGAGAAGGAAUGAAACAAAGAAAGUGGGAUGGAGGAUGAGGGAGGUCGGAAGCUAGAAUGAUAGGGGAUAAGAGCCAGCUUGAAAGAAAUGGGCGGUAAUGCGCUUCUUUUACCUUUCUCUAUUUUAUCUUGUGAUCAACUCUAACUAACAAUCACUGUUUGUGAUCGAGUCUCUGGCGAACAUAUUAUUUUAUAUAUAUAUAUAUAUAUGCAAUAUGUAUCUGGAGAGAGGCAUCUGUCAUUGUGCCAGGACGAGUGGUGUGUUGUGUUGGUAAGCAGGUUGUGUGUGCUGUGUAUAUUCGGCUGAUUAUCGUCUGUCUGUGCGUGGCACUUUGAAUUUGCGCCAGAGGAAUUAUUAUGCUUGCGCUUGUGAAGCCUGCUUGCUCCCUCUCUCCUUCUUGCUCUCUGCUCAGCUUUCUGCUAGGAAAAUGAGGAUGAAUCAAACUGAGAAAUCACUGUGGACGCCUAUUAAAAUUUAAACCUGAACAUUUUGUUGCUAUUCAUGUAUAUUUAGCUUUGACAUAAUAAAAGGCCUCUUAGUGAAAGCAUAUUAUUAAGAUUAUAUCAGAUUAUUAUUCAUAGCACAUUGUUUAAUCUUACCUAAACCUUAUUAAUACAUUAGAUAAGAUCUUUUUUAAUGUAACAGGCAUUCGAUU